rnacentral:rRNA from 1 species
UACUUAGGGGGCUAGCGUUGUCCGGAAUCAUUUGGCGUAAAGCGCGUGUAGGCGGCCCGGUAAGUCCGUUGUGAAAGUCAAAGGCUCAACCUUUGAAAGCCGAUGGAUACUGCCGGGCUGGAGUCCGGAAGAGGCGAGUGGAAUUCCUGGUGUAGCGGUGGAAUGCGCAGAUAUCAGGAGGAACACCAAUAGCGAAGGCAGCUCGCUGGGACGGUACUGACGCUGAGGAGCGAAAGCGUGGGGAGCGAACAGG